AGUGGAUGGGGAGCAACCUAGUUGUGAGUGUGGAAAGGUAGUGCCAAGAAAAGCUGUCAGAAUGAUGAGAAUUGAGUCCCGGUACCCGAAACCGACACAGGUAGGCAAGUAGAGAAUACUAAGGGGCGCGAGGUAACUCUCUCCAAGGAACUCGGCAAAAUGACCCCGUAACUUAGGGAGAAGGGGUGCCACCGAGAGGUGGUCGCAGUGAAGAGGCCCAGGCGACUGUUUAGCAAAAACAUAGGUCUCUGCAAACUCGAAAGAGGAAGUAUAGGGGCUGACGCCUGCCCAGUGCCGGAAGGUUAAAGAAGUUGGUCAGGAGAAAUCUGAAGCUGGCGACUGAAGCCCCGGUGAACGGCGGCCGUAACUAUAACGGUCCUAAGGUAGCGAAAUUCCUUGUCGGGUAAGUUCCGACCCGCACGAAAGGCGUAACGAUCUGGGCGCUGUCUCGGAGAGAGGCUCGGCGAAAUAGGAUUGUCUGUGAAGAUACGGACUACCUGCAUUUGGACAGAAAGACCCUAUGAAGCUUUACUGUAGCUUGAAAUUGUGUUCGGGCUUCCUGUGCGCAGGAUAGGUGGGAGGCGAGGAAGGUCUGCUUGUGGGCAGAUUGGAGCCAACCGUGAGAUACCACUCUCAGGAGGCUAGAAUUCUAACUUAAUUAAGGACAGUUUCAGGUGGGCAGUUUGACUGGGGCGGUCGCCUCCAAAAAGGUAACGGAGGCGUACAAAGGUUUCCUCACACUGGUUGGAAAUCAGUGGCAGAGUGCAAAGGCAGAAGGGAGCUUGACUGCGAGACGGACAAGUCGAGCAGGGUGGAAACACGGUCUUAGUGAUCCGACGGUGCUGUGUGGAAGGGCCGUCGCUCAACGGAUAAAAGUUACUCUAAGGAUAACAGGCUGAUCUCCCCCAAGAGUUCACAUCGACGGGGAGGUUUGGCACCUCGAUGUCGGCUCAUCGCAACCUGGGGCGGAAGUACGUCCCAAGGGUUGGGCUGUUCGCCCAUUAAAGCGGUACGUGAGCUGGGUUCAGAACGUCGUAGACAGUUCGGUCCAUAUCCGAUGUAGGCGUGAGAAUAUUGAGAGGAGCCUUCCUUAGUACGAGAGGACCGGGAAGGACGCACCGCUGGUGUACCUGUUAUGAUGCCAAUCGUAAACGCAGGGUAGCCAAGUGCGGAGAGGAUAACCGCUGAAAGCAUCUAAGUGGGAAGCCCACCUCAAGAUGAGUAUUCUGGUGUAAGGUCACGGGGAGACGACCCGUAGAUAGGCACGAGGUGGAAGUGCAGAGAUGUAUGAAGCCGAAGUGUACUAAUAGACCGUCGGCUUGACC
rnacentral:rRNA from 1 species